rnacentral:rRNA from 1 species
UAAACGUUGGGCACUAGGUGUGGGGGACAUUCCACGUUUUCCGCGCCGUAGCUAACGCAUUAAGUGCCCCGCCUGGGGAGUACGGCCGCAAGGCUAAAACUCAAAGGAAUUGACGGGGGCCCGCACAAGCGGCGGAGCAUGCGGAUUAAUUCGAUGCAACGCGAAGAACCUUACCAAGGCUUGACAUGAACCGGCAACGCCUGGAGACAGGUGCCCCGCUUGCGGUCGGUUUACAGGUGGUGCAUGGUUGUCGUCAGCUCGUGUCGUGAGAUGUUGGGUUAAGUCCCGCAACGAGCGCAACCCUCGUUCUAUGUUGCCAGCACGUGAUGGUGGGGACUCAUAGGAGACUGCCGGGGUCAACUCGGAGGAAGGUGGGGGCGACGUCAAAUCAUCAUGCCCCUUAUGUCUUGGGCUUCACGCAUGCUACAAUGGCCGGUACAAAGGGUUGCGAUACUGUGAGGUGGAGCUAAUCCCAAAAAGCCGGUCUCAGUUCGGAUUGGGGUCUGCAACUCGUCCCCAUGAAGUCGGAGUCGCUAGUAAUCGCAGAUCAGCAACGCUGCGGUGAAUACGUUCCCGGGCCUUGUACACACCGCCCGUCAAGUCACGAAAGUUGGUAACACCCGAAGCCGGUGGCCUAACCCCUUGUGGGAGGGAGCUGUCGAAGGUGGGACUGGCGAUUGGGACUAAGUCGUAACAAGGUAACC